ensembl:lncRNA
GUUAAAGCCAAAUCCUGCCUCCUUUAACCAUCCUUCAGGAGGUCACGACAAUAGACGCCAAACCCCGCGUUUCCGGUGAUGUUGUCGUUCAGGGGGUAUUGUUGUGCCGGGCAGACGGAUUGGCUACAACAUGAAUCUUUAUGAGCCAGAUUGUUGGGACGACCCCCUACCACCGACCAGCAAACAGGGAGCUCAGUAGGCCGGCUGUGAUAGGGGGUGGGGUUGGGGGUGCCCCAAGGCCUUGAGGGGCCUCUGUGCUCAGACCAGGGAUAAUGAACCAUCUGAGGCUCGCAGACCCCGGGGCCCCGGACCAGAGUGAAACUGGAGAACUGUUCAGAGAGAGGAGGCCCAAUGACAACCUGUUAUUAAUUCUGCUGGAGCCGCAUUGAACCAUGCAGUGAGCACGCAUGUCAUUAGCAGCCAGUAGAGCUCAG